CAGUCGCCACGGUAAUACGUAGGGUGCAAGCGUUAAUCGGAAUUACUGGGCGUAAAGCGUGCGCAGGCGGUUUGUUAAGACAGAUGUGAAAUCCCCGGGCUCAACCUGGGAACUGCAUUUGUGACUGGCAAGCUAGAGUGUGGCAGAGGGGGGUGGAAUUCCGCGUGUAGCAGUGAAAUGCGUAGAUAUGCGGAGGAACACCGAUGGCGAAGGCAGCCCCCUGGGCCAACACUGACGCUCAUGCACGAAAGCGUGGGGAGCAAACAGGAUUAGAUACCCGCGUAGUCCCUGUCUCUUAUAC
rnacentral:rRNA from 1 species